AAGUACAAUGGCGGACUUAAUGCCUGA
rnacentral:sRNA from 1 species